GAUGAACGCUGGCGGCGUGCCUAAUACAUGCAAGUCGAGCGAACAGACGAGGAGCUUGCUCCUCUGACGUUAGCGGCGGACGGGUGAGUAACACGUGGAUAACCUACCUAUAAGACUGGGAUAACUUCGGGAAACCGGAGCUAAUACCGGAUAAUAUAUUGAACCGCAUGGUUCAAUAGUGAAAGACGGUUUUGCUGUCACUUAUAGAUGGAUCCGCGCCGCAUUAGCUAGUUGGUAAGGUAACGGCUUACCAAGGCAACGAUGCGUAGCCGACCUGAGAGGGAGAUCGGCCACACUGGAACUGAGACACGGUCCAGACUCCUACGGGAGGCAGCAGUAGGGAAUCUUCCGCAAUGGGCGAAAGCCUGACGGAGCAACGCCGCGUGAGUGAUGAAGGUCUUCGGAUCGGAAAACUCUGUUAUUAGGGAAGAACAAAUGUGUAAGUAACUAUGCACGUCUUGACGGUACCGAAUCAGAAAGCCACGGCUAACUACGUG
rnacentral:rRNA from 1 species